UAAAGUCGUACUAAAAGUAAAAAGUUUAUAAAAAUAGUAAUAUUAUUACAUAAAAAAGCCAAUUACUUAAAUUUAUUGUAUCAAUCCUCUAACGCAGUACAUAGAGUUCACAUUUUUAUUUCUCAUAAGAAGUUUUAAAAACUCAAAUAUCACUUUACACAAAUAUGACUGAAUAUAAAAUAAAAUGAUAAUACUGUACAGGUUGGCGAAAUCGAGAAUAAGACGACCUACAUAGAAGAAUGCGAGCUCAAUAACGCCUGGAGACUUCAACAGCCUCGUAGCAUUCGAGAGAGUUAGAAUUAUAGUCAAAAAUUAUAAUUAAUGAGUUUUAUGAUGCACUAAUGGAAAACGAAGGAGCUCAUUCAAAUCACAGUUUAACAUACAUGAACACUGAAGUUAAGCUGACGCCACAGAGAGAGAGAUGGGAACAUUGAUCGUUCAGCAAAUGGAAUCAUGUGUGACUAAUUCUCAAACCUUACCAAUGUGCAUUAAUUAAUUGCCGCCUAAACACUCGAUCACAUCAUCCCCAAUCAAUUAAUGUGUAAAGCUAUAAUAGUUGAUAUAAGUAUCAUUCUACUUCAUAAUGUUAUAGUUAUGAUACAUAAUGUAC